rnacentral:rRNA from 1 species
GAUGAACGCUGGCGGCGUGCCUAAUACAUGCAAGUCGAGCGAACAGACCAGGAGCUUGCUCCUCUGACGUUAGCGGCGGACGGGUGAGUAACACGUGGAUAACCUACCUAUAAGACUGGGAUAACUUCGUGAAACCGGAGCUAAUACCGCAUAAUAUAUUGAACCGCAUGGUUCAAUAGUGAAAGACGGUUUUGCUGUCACUUAUAGAUGGAUCCGCGCCGCAUUAGCUAGUUGGUAAGGUAACGGCUUACCAAGGCAACGAUGCGUAGCCGACCUGAGAGGGUGAUCGGCCACACUGGAACUGAGACACGGUCCAGACUCCUACGGGAGGCAGCAGUAGGGAAUCUUCCGCAAUGGGCGAAAGCCUGACGGAGCAACGCCGCGUGAGUGAUGAAGGUCUUCGGAUCGUAAAACUCUGUUAUUAGGGAAGAACAAAUGUGUAAGUAACUAUGCACGUCUUGACGGUACCUAAUCAGAAAGCCACGGCUAACUACGUG